UUAUCAACAAAUCUUUCUAAAAGCAACACGCAUUUUGUCUUCAUCAGAUCAUGUUCUUCAGAGGGAAUACGUUGUUGUAUUUGAGCUGCUUUUAAAACUAAUCGCCACUCAAAUUGUUUUAUCCUUUCUGCAAUUCGACUUUUAAAUGGAUCAAAUCUAUUUUUGGAUUAUAAU